AUGUUCAGCUCGGAGAGGUUGAAACUAUUUCAUCUCUGCCUAGCGCUAAUAAUCGGCCGAUGUCUCUCGGAACUUGUGCUACAGUCUCCGUCUGUCAUAACCGCACUAAAGGGCGAUUCCGUGCAGAUAAACUGCACCUAUGGCACAUCCAGCAUUUAUUCCAUGAUGUGGUACCGCCAGAAAUCCGAUCAGAUGCUAGAGUAUAUAAUAAUGCGUAGAAUAUCUGGGAGAGAAAACAAAGGUCGCUUUAAAUUGGAUCUCUCUACCGCGGACAGACGCGGCCAGUUUACUAUCGAAGGAAUCGAAGCCACGGACAGAGCAGUGUAUUAUUGUGCAAUAGAGUCGCACAGUCCUACAAAACGCAUCGUUGCCCGCACAAAAAUCUUUCUACUCUUCACAGCUGCAUCCGGUUCCAACGCGGCAGAGUGGUACUUGUAA